rnacentral:rRNA from 1 species
AUACGGAGGGUCCGAGCGUUAUCCGGAAUCAUUGGGUUUAAAGGGUCCGUAGGCGGGAAUCUAAGUCAGUGGUGAAAUCUUGCAGCUCAACUGUAAAAUUGCCAUUGAUACUAGAUUUCUUGAAUUAGUGUGAAGUGGUUAGAAUGUGUAGUGUAGCGGUGAAAUGCAUAGAUAUUACACAGAAUACCAAUUGCGAAGGCAGAUAACUAACACUAUAUUGACGCUAAGGGACGAAAGCGUGGGGAGCGAACAGGAUUAGAAACCCGGGUAGUCC